rnacentral:rRNA from 1 species
AUUGAACGCUGGCGGCAGGCCUAACACAUGCAAGUCGAACGAGUGGCGGACGGGUGAGUAAUGUCUGGGAAACUGCCCGAUGGAGGGGGAUAACUACUGGAAACGGUAGCUAAUACCGCAUACCAUCGGAUGUGCCCAGAUGGGAUUAGCUAGUAGGUGGGGGAACGGCUCACCUAGGGGAAGAUCCCUAGCUGGUCUGCGAGGGGGACCGGCCACACUGGAACUGAGACACGGUCCAGACUCCUACGGGAGGCAGCAGUGGGGAAUAUUGCACAAUGGGCGCAAGCCUGAUGCAGCCAUGCCGCGUGAAUGAAGAAGGCCUUCGGGUUGUAAAGUACUGUCAGCGAGGAGGCGUUACUCGCAGAAGAAGCACCGGCUAACUCCGUGCCAACAGCCGCGGUAAUAC